CACGUGAGCAAUCUGCCUUUCAGAGGGGGAUACCGAUUGGAAACGAUCGUUAAUACCGCAUAAUAUAAUUGAACCGCAUGAUUUGAUUAUCAAAGAUUUAUCGCUGUAAGAUGAGCUCGCGUCUGAUUAGCUAGUUGGUAAGGUAACGGCUUACCAAGGCGACGAUCAGUAGCCGGACUGAGAGGUUGAUCGGCCACAUUGGGACUGAGACACGGCCCAGACUCCUACGGGAGGCAGCAGUGGGGAAUAUUGCACAAUGGAGGAAACUCUGAUGCAGCGAUGCCGCGUGAGGGAAGAAGGUUUUAGGAUUGUAAACCUCUGUCUUCAGGGACGAAAAAAGACGGUACCUGAGGAGGAAGCUCCGGCUAACUACGUGCCAGCAGCCGCGGUAAUACGUAGGGAGCGAGCGUUGUCCGGAAUUACUGGGUGUAAAGGGAGCGUAGGCGGGAUCGCAAGUCAGAUGUGAAAACUAUGGGCUUAACCCAUAAACUGCAUUUGAAACUGUGGUUCUUGAGUGAAGUAGAGGUAAGCGGAAUUCCUAGUGUAGCGGUGAAAUGCGUAGAUAUUAGGAGGAACAUCAGUGGCGAAGGCGGCUUACUGGGCUUUAACUGACGCUGAGGCUCGAAAGCGUGGGGAGCAAACAGGAUUAGAUACCC
rnacentral:rRNA from 1 species